GAUCAUGGCUCAGGAUGAACGCUAGCGGCAGGCCUAACACAUGCAAGUCGAGGGGCAGCGGGGAUUGAGCUUGCUCAAUUUGCCGGCGACCGGCGCACGGGUGCGUAACGCGUAUGUAACCUACCCUGAACUGGGGAAUAACACUGAGAAAUCGGUACUAAUACCCCAUAAUACACUGGAAGGCAUCUUUUGGUGUUGAAAGCUCCGGCGGUUCAAGAUGGACAUGCGUUGUAUUAG
rnacentral:rRNA from 1 species